AACUGAAAGUGAGCAACUGGAUAUUAGGCUGCCAGAAGAAAUGCUUCCAGAACACACUGAAGCUGAAGCAUAACUCGAAACAGUGCAAUAUUGAUGUUGACAGUUGGGUGUCGUCAGCAGCAGAGUGACUACUGCUUGGAGGUUCUGAAAUGUAGUCACUCCACAGAGACUGAAGGCAUGCUUAUCACACCACGGUUAUGCUGGGCUGAUCAUCUGUUGAGGGUGGAUGACACCAGAAUGCCAAAACGAUUACUGUAAGGCAAACAAAGUGGGCAACUGCAUAGGCGGUGGCCGGAAGAAAUGCUUCAAGGACACACUGAAGCAUAAUUUGAAACAGGGCAACAUUGAUGUUGACAGCUGGUGAGCAGUAGUCAGUGAUGGGGUCACCAGUUCAAGAUUAACCAUUUGGAUCUUGAGGCAUAGAGGUUGAGUUGCAAACAUUGGUGGACUCAGCAGCACAGACUGUAAUCCCUUCUUUGGCAUCAACCUAUCUGUGCAUUUCAUGCGGAAAGGACUGCCACUUGUGCAUCAAUCUUUUUAGCUACAACUGUGCUCACAAGACAUAAUACUGUCAUCACCACCAUUUUCAGUUAUGAAGGGCAACAACUGGACUGAGAUCACCACAUUUAUUUCAUAACAGGUGCAGUCGGGCAAAGGUGAAGCAAACUCCACUAAUAUGUGUCAGACCUGAUGGAGGAACCAACUCUAGGGAAAAAUAAAGUCAUUCCGCAUCAGUGAUCCAUGACCACUCCGCUAAAGCUGCCAGAAACAAUGCCAAUUACUGCUGGUGGUUUAUGUGAUCUGGCUACCUGUCCAUUGGAAACUAGACGGAGACCAUCUACUCACUGCACACAGGCCACCAAACAGCGAUCUGCUUUCUAUAAUUUGUGGUCAUGAGUUGCAGUACCCCUAUGGGAUGGAUUUAAACUGAUCUACUGUAGGAGGUGAAGGGUUCCACAUCCCUAACCAGGUCCCUGCAUCAUCCAGUGUUACAAACCCUUAUUAGCCUUAGAUAACAUGUAGGUUUUUAUGUCUAUGGCACCCCCCCAACUGUGUAGGUUUUUAUGUCUAUGGCACCCCGCUGUGAUGAUAGUAGUCUUACAGAAUUACCAACUGUGUACAUUACACAUAAGGAUUACUUAACCUCACUCACCACCAAAAUGCACCCACAGCUGGGCUGUGAUGCAGCAGCCAUUACAGACGGCACCAGACAUGCUACACAACAGGAUGGGAAGAAUGCAGGGAAAAGAGACAAACCUUUUAGAGGUAAGGAGCAGGGUAUAAUUACACUGCAUUGUUUAAACUAGAGCUCAGACUCAGGGUUGUGCCUCCUACCCCCACCUCCAUCCACACACAAAUCGGUCUGACUCGGGUCAGCAAGAACUCAAGAUCUAGGUCCUAGGUCCCAUCCAGGGGGUGGAUCUGAAUCUCAGAUCCAAGUCCUGUCAUUUUGCUGUGUGGCCACAGCUCAAGCUGCAGGCCUGAGUCAGAAGGUUUGUGUACUGAGGUAUAGAUGCAUUAGCACGGUUAUGAGACCCAGGUCCGGCAAUUGUAAACCCAGGUUUACAAUGCAGUGUGGAUGCUCACUUGGAAACACUGAGUUCAUGAGUGUGGGUACCACAGCCUCAGGUUUACAAUGCAGCAUAUCCAUCCCCUCUCUGCCCAGCGAAGCGCUUUUAAAGUGGGCAGACUGAGAGCACUCAAGGUGGUUGUCCUAGGAAAGGGAGGCAAGAAAGGAGAAAUCUUCAGGGAUGAUGUUGCUUGGAAGCCCAUUGAUGACAGUCAGCACUGGAAACUGCUGAAGAAAUCUGCAGCAAUGGAGCCCAGGGCACUGCUAUUCUUU